GAAAUGCGAUACGUAAUGCGAAUUGCAGAAUUCAGUGAAUCAUCAAAUCUUUGAACGCAAAUUGCGCUUUCUGGAUAGGCCAGAGAGCAUGCCUCUUUGAGCAUCGUUUCUACCUCACCUCGGCAGCUUGCUGCUGGAUAAUGAGUUUCUCAUUCGAAAGUUUGAGUCACUUUAAGGAGCGUGAGUUUCCUAAACUCCUAGUGCCUGCCUCUCACGAGGCGCCUCUCGUAGGUUGUUUUCACUAGUGACGCGGAUAAUCUUUUCUUGCGUACCUAUGAACUCGACUCACGGUUGGUCAAUGCCUAGUUCAGGAACUCGAUGGAAAUUAUAAUUUUUGAAUUAGAUCUCAAAUGAAGCAAGAUUACCCGCUGAACUUAA
rnacentral:misc_RNA from 1 species